CGCCAAGGCUGACACACUCACCCUGGAGGAGAGGGUCCACUUCAAACAGCGGAUCACCGCAGACCUGCUGUCCAACGGCAUCGACGUGUACCCCCAGAAGGAAUUUGAUGAGGACUCGGAGGACCGGCUGGUGAACGAGAAGUUCCGGGAGAUGAUCCCAUUUGCUGUGGUGGGCAGUGACCACGAGUACCAGGUCAACGGCAAGAGGAUCCUUGGGAGGAAGACCAAGUGGGGCACCAUCGAAGUUGAAAACACCACACACUGUGAGUUUGCCUACCUGCGGGACCUUCUCAUCAGGUGAGAGACAGGGUGCUUGGGUGGGGCUGAUGGCUUCACCCCUAAUAGGGCCCUACAGCAGGUGGGGGCAGUGGGUGUGGGGCUGAAGCCCUGGGCAGAGUGGGCGCACCCUGCCACCUGCCUGCCCUGCCCUCGGGAAGAUCUUGGAAGUCCACCUUCUAAAAAGAAAACCCACUGGGAAAUGAAGCAAGCAGUGAAGAUCCUUUUUAACCCCUGCGAAGUUGGCUGGAUGGGAAGGCUGAGCUUU
rnacentral:sRNA from 1 species